AUAGAAGUACCGUAAUGAGUAAAUAUGUUUCAAAAGCUAAAUGUCUCUCAAGGUGUCCACCACAUCACUCUGAUCAUUUGGUUUUAAGAUAAAAAUCUAUAAGGACCAAGCCUCUACCUGCCUUUGCAACAUCAUUUUACUGUCUGCACCCUUUGUUAGUGUUCCUCAUCCUGGUGAACUGAAUGUUAUAUAUUGAAAUUCUGUGCCUCCUACAUAAAACUGAAAACUGAACCUACUUUAUUAUUUAAACAUUAACUGUUCCUCUCCUCCAUUAUGUACUCAACUAUUAUGGAACUCAAAAUCAUUAUUGUGCCACUGACAGCAUUAGUUUACUUUUUAAAUAUUUAUUUUUAAGCAUGUUUGGCUAUAUGCCAUGUGUGCCCAUGUGUGGCUCUGGCUGAGUGCAAGUAUCCUGGGAGUUUACAGGUGGUUCUCAGCUAGUGAUUGAACUUUGGCCCUCUACUAGAGCAGACAUGCUCUCAACUACUGAGCCAUCUCUCUAGCCUGGCAACAAUUUUUUGAUAGCAAUUUUUAUCCUGCUGGAAGAGAUUUUCUUGAACUGAAAACAAAUCUAAUCCUAAAUGUGUUUAUACUUAUGAAGAACCGUCUCUCAAUUUCUGAGUCAUUUUUGGGGAAAAUGUUAUUUGCUGUUGUAAGAAAUAUUAACUCUUUGAUUUCAAGUCUUACUCUGACAUGAUAUAGGUGAUAUAUCACAGCCAAGGCUGCUGCAGCUGUUUCAAAUGCUGUUAGUUUUGGGGACCUUCAACCCUUCUUCCACUGGUCACCUACUUUCUUUCACCUUGAGUCCAGAUGCUCUUGUGCUACUCUGGGAAGAGCUUGCUGAUGGCAUCCUCCUGGGCUCUAGUGAAAGUCACAAUCUACUUCAGGCUGCUAAGAGGCCAGCCUCAAGCCCUGACAAAAGGAAUGACUCCCACCCCCUAAUGUGAAGCACUUGAACACUUUGGCUAAGGUAGUCCAGGGUGGCAGUAGGGCCAUGCUCAAGAUGAGGAAGAA
rnacentral:lncRNA from 1 species